AUGUUUAUACUCAUAUCUGUAUGCAAAUAGUAAAGACCGUCAAUCAAGAAAGCACGUGUAACAAUUUUAUUUCCAAAAUAAAUUGAAGACAUGUCUUUAUUGAAAUAAAAAUUAUAAUUAUCCUAUGCCAGCACAGAGAUAGAAAAUAAAUUUCUACUAACUACAGGUACAUAAUAAUAGUCUUUCAAAAGCAAACUGAGUCUUAAUGGU
rnacentral:lncRNA from 1 species